GAUGAACGCUGGCGGCGUGCCUAAUACAGGCAAGUCGAGCGAACGGACGAGAAGCUUGCUUUUCUGAUGUUAGCGGCGGACGGGUGAGUAACACGUGGAUAACCUACCUAUAAGACUGGGAUAACUUCGGGAAACCGGAGCUAAUACCGGAUAAUAUUUUGAACCGCAUGGUUCAAAAGUGAAAGACGGUCUUGCUGUCACUUAUAGAUGGAUCCGCGCUGCAUUAGCUAGUUGGUAAGGUAACGGCUUACCAAGGCAACGAUGCAUAGCCGACCUGAGAGGGUGAUCGGCCACACUGGAACUGAGACACGGUCCAGACUCCUACGGGAGGCAGCAGUAGGGAAUCUUCCGCAAUGGGCGAAAGCCUGACGGAGCAACGCCGCGUGAGUGAUGAAGGUCUUCGGAUCGUAAAACUCUGUUAUUAGGGAAGAACAUAUGUGUAAGUAACUGUGCACAUCUUGACGGUACCUAAUCAGAAAGCCACGGCUAACUACGUGCCAGCAGCCGCGGUAAUACGUAGGCGGCAAGCGUUUAUCCCGAAUUAUUGGGCGUAAAGCGCGCGUAGGCGGUUUUUUAGUCUGAUGUGAAAGCCCACGGCUCAACCGUGGAGGGUCAUUGGAAACUGGAAAACUUGAGUGCAGAAGAGGAAAGUGGAAUUCCAUGUGUAGCGGUGAAAUGCGCAGAGAUGUGGAGGAACACCAGUGGCGAAGGCGACUUUCUGGUCUGUAACUGACGCUGAUGUGCGAAAGCGUGGGGAUCAAACAGGAUUAGAUACCCUGGUAGUCCACGCCGUAAACGAUGAGUGCUAAGUGUUAGGGGGUUUCCGCCCCUUAGUGCUGCAGCUAACGCAUUAAGCACUCCGCCUGGGGAGUACGACCGCAAGGUUGAAACUCAAAGGAAUUGACGGGGGCCCGCACAAGCGGUGGAGCAUGUGGUUUAAUUCGAAGCAACGCGAAGAACCUUACCAAAUCUUGACAUCCUUUGACAACUCUAGAGAUAGAGCCUUCCCCUUCGGGGGACAAAGUGACAGGUGGUGCAUGGUUGUCGUCAGCUCGUGUCGUGAGAUGUUGGGUUAAGUCCCGCAACGAGCGCAACCCUUAAGCUUAGUUGCCAUCAUUAAGUUGGGCACUCUAAGUUGACUGCCGGUGACAAACCGGAGGAAGGUGGGGAUGACGCCAAAUCAUCAUGCCCCUUAUGAUUUGGGCUACACACGUGCUACAAUGGACAAUACAAAGGGCAGCGAAACCGCGAGGUCAAGCAAAUCCCAUAAAGUUGUUCUCAGUUCGGAUUGUAGUCUGCAACUCGACUACAUGAAGCUGGAAUCGCUAGUAAUCGUAGAUCAGCAUGCUACGGUGAAUACGUUCCCGGGUCU
rnacentral:rRNA from 1 species